ACAGGACAGAGAGAUAUCAGAUGCCAUGCUUCUUUACCAUGCUGAAGACAAGAUGGUGAAGGGUCCUCUGGCUUGAAGGUCCCAGAAUUCAGUAGUACUUUUCAUCCAUUGAUCUCACGCCCAGGAAUGUGCGCUAAACGCUUAUGAGGCUAGCACCAGACAUGGCAGAAUACUGGGCAAGCGCAGCCUCUGGAAAUACCACAGAAGGUUCCAGAAGAUGAUGGGG